AGCUGUGGAUGUGGACUUUACUGUCACUUGGGUGGACCAGCCCUCUCUGCGUCUAUCUUGACCCUCCCCUGAGACCAGACCCCCAGGCUCCUAGAGCUGCAUCUUCUCCCAAAUAAAAGCACAGGGUCUUAAUGAAGCCCCAUCAGUUUGCAAGAAAGGAAAAUGGACUUGGGGUAGGUGGCUCUCUGGAGGUCACAGAAUCCUUGGGUGAGGCUGGCACGGCCGCAUCCUUGCCCUGCCCCAGGCUUGCCCGGGGGUGGACACACUGCCAGAGCCCUUCCUGAAGACACGCACCCCCCGCCCUGGGAUGGGCCCAGCAGAAGGAAUGCAGGCUGGCGUUUUCCUAAUGAGUAGUUUCCUGCCUCUCAGUUCAGGAAGCCGUGAGACUGAACAAAUAGUGAGCUCAGAAAUAAAUGUUUCGGGGAAAGUUGUUUUCCUGGUAAGAGCCGUUCCCUUGCUGGUGCAGCCACAGCCCUCUGGCCCUGCGCACCAGCUCUGCUUGGCCUCGCUGUUCCCCGUCCUGCGCGCGCCCCAGACGCCCGUUCUCCCACCAAGACGCUGGUCAUCCUGCCAGGGCCGCUCUAGUCCUCCCCUACCCGACCCUGGCAUCCCCAGAGGGUCCCGGCUGGGUGGGGAGAGGAUGGAGUCAGGCCCUGCCCACCCUGGCCUCUGAGGUCCACCCACCCCAAGGGUGCCCGGUCCGCCCAUGCCUGUCUCUCCCACCUGCUUGCACAGGCCACAGGGAGAUCCAGGUGAUAGACACAGACUACAAACAGUACGCCAUCCUGAGGGUGUCCCUCCACUGGCGGGACAAGGAAUUCCACGUGCUCAAGUAUCUCAUUCGGAGCCUUGAGGGCGAGUAUGAACCAGGCUUCUGGAAGUUCCGGGGGUUGACCGCAGACACGGGACUGUACCUGGUGGCCCGGCACGGUAGAGAAACUGAGGCCCAGGCCACACAGCUAGGACACCCACUCCUGGCCAUGGCUCCAACCGCUGCCCCCCGGGGUCCUUGGAGGCCGGGCGGCGCCCUGAGGCCCUGGCCUUCUGUGUCACAGGAGCUGAUCUAGGGGAGCCCCUGCCCCCAUCCGGGAUGCUGGGAGCCCCGCCCACCCGGGCUCCCCUGGCUGCCCAGCCCUGGGGGGCCCGCCUGCACCUGCUCUGAAUAAACU